rnacentral:misc_RNA from 1 species
CCACAUCCAUCACUGCGCUGCGCCAUCGCCAUCAUCGGUCGAAGAUGGAGGCUGCCGAAUCUGACGCCGGUGCUAAAACUCAUUUGGAGAAUGCUCUUACAGAAGAUGAAAUCGCCAAUUUACCUGAAGUUAUUGCGGGGAAAAUCAACGCAUAUAUCGACAAACAGUUUGAAGAAUAUUUAACAGCUAAAGCACUUCAUGAAACUAACAAGUCACAGAUUGGGGAUAAAGUUUCAACAUUAGAAGCGCAAGUUCUUGAAUUAACGGCUAAAUAUGACGAUGCAGUAAAGAAGUUGUCUACAUCAGAUGAAACUAUAACUGAACUGACACAUCAAGUAGAAUCAUUGAACACUGAAUUGGAAAAAGCUCGUGAUAAAAUAACCCGCUUAGAAAAUGAUAUUAUUUCUUUCAAAAGUUCAAGGGAUGCUGCUGUUGACGAAAGAAAUGACUUGACUAGAAUAUUGCAGAGGCGAGAUGCCGAAAUUGAAAGAUUAACUUCUAGUGAAGCUGCACUAUCUCAACAGCUUCGUGCAGCUAUAGAUGCCAAAUGUGAAGCUCUGGCAUUAAAUGAUGAAAUACAGAGCAAGGAGCUUUCACUACAAUAUCGUGAAAAACGUAUAGAACAGGAAAGAACAUUACUUAAUUCCCAAAUAGCUGGCUUAACAGAGGAAGUAAAUCGUUUAACUUCAGAGCUGCAAACUGUAAGAUUAAAUAACACCAGCCGUUCUGUGAACUUAGAAACACAGUUAGCUGAAAAAGUCGAGGAGUUAAAUGCUGCAAAUGAAACUAUAACUCAGCUGAACGAAGUUAAAAAGAGCCUAAACAAUAGAGCUGAAAAUCUAACACAGCGCUUGAUGGAACAGAGAGAAAUAGAAAACAAAAUGACAGAAAACUAUAAAAAAGAAUUAGAAGCAAAAACGAAAUUGGCAGACUUGUUUAAAACAAUGCAUGAUGAUGCUGAGGCUAAAACCAUGGAGUUGACUGAGGGCAUUACAGAACUACAGAAGCUACUAAAUGAAGCAACAGAGAAGUAUGGCGAAAUAGAGACAAAGUAUAAACAAGCUGAUUUGGAUCAUGAAGAGAUGAUGGAAAAGAAAAAUGAAAUUAUUAGUUCCUUAAAGAAUGAAUUGGAACAUGCAAAUGAUCUAUUGAAAGCAGCUAAUGCUCAAAAUCUUGAUAUGGCUUUAAGUGAUUUAGCACCUUCAGCAGCAACAGCAAGUAAACUCUUGAAGUCUGGUAUGUCUCUCACACAAAUAUACUCUCAACUUGUUAAAGUAACUGAUGAACUGGCUCAAGAGAAGGAAGAAAAUAGAAGACUUAAUGUAACAAUUAAUACCAUUGUUCAAGAGCUGGAAGAAAAGGCACCUCUACUACAAAAACAAAAAAUUGAGUUUGAGGAAGCUAUAGAAAGCAAUACUGCUUUAUCCCAGCAAAUUGAUUCAUUAGUAAUUGAAUGUAAUAGACUUCGAGAUGAUUACAGUGAGUCGUCUAAAAUAGCUAAUCACUACAGUCGUGAAAAUUCUAAACUCAAAGGAGAGCUAGCUGACUUGGGCAGACAGGUUUGCUUCUUACUAAAGGAAAUUGAGCAUAGUCGUGGCGGUUUGUUACCGAAUGGUGAUCACGAUUCUUCACAAACUGCGUCCAAUACAACAAAUUCUUCUGAAUUAAGUUCAUCUAGAAUUAUCUCAAAAACUUUAGUAACAUUCAGUGAUAUACAAGAACUACAAUCCAAUAAUCAAAAGCUUUUACGAAUGAUUCGUGAAAUGACAGAUAAGCAAGAAGAAUUUGAACGCCAUAAGGAACAAUUUGAAAGUGGUGAAAUGCAGAAUAAAAUAGAAUCAUUGAAAAAUAGAGUAGUUGAAUUGACUGAAGCUCAAGAACGUCAAACUAAAAUGGUAAAUGGACUUAUAAGGCAAAGAGAUAUGUUCAAAAAGCUUUACCAUGAUCACAUGAAAGGUAAACGCCAUGAAUUGUCUGCAUCAGAGAUAUCAGAAUUAGAAAAGAGUGGCAUCUAUUCAAUGGAGUCCACACCUGAAAACGAAACUAAACACCCCAACGUAGAGGUUUCUUCGUUUGAAAUAAAAUAUAGAGAAACCGAGAAACAAUUAGAGAUGCUGAAGGAAGAAUAUAAAACUUACAAAGAAGAAAAGGUCACCAACGAAAGAAUGUUAUUUGAACAAAUUGAUAAUAUGAGACAAGAGAUAGGAAAACUUACAGCCACAAACAGCAAAUGUGCUUCAACUUCAGAGUACAAUAACGAGAGACUCAAAAUUUUGCAAACGAAUAUCACUACUUAUAAGAAACAAAUUACUUCAUUAGAAGAAAAAAACAAAGCAUACAAUGCAACAAUUGCCAAGCACGAAGUUUCUUUACAACACUUGAGGGAUGAAGCUCUGAACGCUCAGAGUAAACUUGCUGCUGCUGAGAUACAACUUGAAAAUUUAAAACUUGAGCUUAAACUACUUAAAGAUUCUGAGUUACGUAUUCAAACAGAGAAAGAAAUGUUAAACAGAGAACGGCAAGGUCAGUCAUUACUGUUGAAGAAUUUAGAAUUAAUAAAAGCUAGUUUAGAGCGCGUUGAAGCAGAAAAUCGAGCAAAAAUAGAAACAAGGCUAGAUGAAGCUACUAGAGAAUGUUCUGCUUUAAGGAGAAGACUUCAGGAAGAACAGGAUAGGUUUAGAGAGCUGGCAGCACAUCUCGAAAGACAGACAAAUACCGCAAAGGAAAGAAUGCAAGAAGAAAAAGAUGCAGCUGACGCAUUAAGAAAAGAAAUAACAGAAAUGAGACAAGAUUUGUUGGAAAAGAGCAAGGCGAAUGAAGAGUUAACGAAAAAACUCAAAGUUGCACUUUCUCCAAACACAGAUGGCUCAUAUGAUACUGUUAAAAAAAUAAGAGAUCUGGAAAAUAAAUUGUCCGAUAAACAAGAAGAAGUGAAAUCUCUCCAAGAGCAACUAAAUGUAGCUAAGGAACAUAUAAAACAAUACUGCGACAUUUCAGAGAGUGCUGAGAAGGAAUUAAAGGCUUUAAACACUGAAUAUGAGGCAUAUAAAACAGAAACUGAAGCUAAAUUAUCUGACUACAGUACUAAACUUCAGAAUUUGGAAGACAAAUGUUCUGAAUUAGAAGCAGAAUUAUCAUUGCAUGCUAAUGGAGAACACUCUUCUAGUAACAGUACACUGAAGAAUGAAUUAGCCGCAGUCAAAGAAGAAUUAACUAAUGCUUUGAAUACCGCUAAUGGAUACCGUAUGGAACUUGAAUCUGCUCGUGCUGAUAUAACUAAGUUGUCAGAAGCCGUUCAGAAUGCAGAGGAAAAAUAUACCCAUGAAAUGAUUCUACAUUCCAGUGAUAUACAAGUUUUGUCACACAUGAAAGAAGAAUUAUUAAAAGCCCAAAAUCAAAUCAAUGAAUUAACCGCCUUAAAACUGCGUGCAGUUGAAGAUUUAGAAACUGAAAAGAAAUCAUGGGAAGAUAGACAAAAAAUACUUAUCAGUGAAAACAGUCAGCUGACUGAACGACUGAAAGACCUGAAUGAUCAAAAUACAUUAUUGCAUGACCAAAUACAAGCUUUGGGGACACAGUUAUCAGUUACUCACGCAUCUCGGUCACAUACAGACAGCUUAAAUGAAUCUGCAAAUGAUUCCAAUGUUAAUAUAUCAGUUAGUGAAGAAGAUGGAAAAUCAUCAGAACAAUUAUUCCAAAUUGUUAAGUUUUUGAGGAAAGAAAAAGACAUCGCCAUGGCUAAAUUCGAUAUUCUACAAGCUGAAACUAUGCGACUUAAAUCACAGUUAGAAAUAGCUGAAAAACAACUUGAUGAGACAAAGUUAACUCUAGCAGCAGAAAGAGAAAAGUCCGAAGUGAGUAUGGUGACGGUGACUAGACAGUCAGAUAUAUUGAGAAAAGUUGAAACAUUAAAUGCUUUAACAGAUAGUAACAGAAUUUUACGAGAAGAGCGAGAUGCAUUAUCUUCUCGGGUCGAAGAACUUACUGCUACAGCAAAGACAAUGGAAGCUCAAUUAGCGCCGCUACAAGAUAAAAUUUCUGACAUUACAUCAAAAAAUGAAACUCUGCAGUCGGAAAAUAAUGCGUUGAAAGCAGAUUGCGCCAGAUGGAGAACAAGAGUGAAUGCUUUAGUUGAACGUGCUAACAAAACCAGUCCUGAAGACUGGAAACGUCUACAAAACGAAAGGGAAACUCUCGCCAAAAUGUUAACAAAUGAAAAAGAAAAUGUUAGAAAAGUUAACGAAGAACUAAGUUCAUUAAAGGUAGAGAAGAUCAAAAUAGAAGAACAAUAUUCCUUGUUAUCGAGACAACAUAAUGCAUUAGCGGAGGAAAAUAAGAAACUUAGUGAGGAGUUGCUCACUCUUAAGGAAGAUAUGACACGGAUUACUGAAGAGAUUACAAAACUGAAAGCAGAUCAAUCUUCAAUAGUUGCUUCAAAUGCGAAAUUAACAGAUGAACUAUCUAACAAAGAUGCAUCGUUGACGGACAUUAGAAAUAAAGAAAACCAAAUAAGGAAAAUUGCUAAAAAGUACAAAGCUCAAUAUGAAGAGUUAGUGAAAACGGUAGAAGAAGAAAAGAAAAAGAGUGAGGGUGAUGUUGCAGCUGCUGAUGCUGCAAUCACUGAAUGUAACAAGAAGUUUGAGGAACAAAUAGCUGAGCUUCAAGCAAAACUGGCCACCGAAAAAUUGAAUACAGAUAAAUUAAAACAAGAACUAGAAACACUGCGGACUGCAAAUAUGGAAAAAGAAGAAAAAUCUAAACAAGUAUUAAAACAAGCCAAGAGUAAAAUUGUUCAGUUGACAGAACUGAAAAAUACGUUAAGUCGAGAAUUAGACGAAUCUCGCAAUAAAAUAGGUGCAAUUGAGCAAAGCACACGCGAUGAACAGGAUGUAAGACUAGCUCUAAUAAAAUCUCAGUAUGAGGGACGGCUGUCGCGAUUGGAGAAAGAGCGGAGUGAAGCCCAAGCUGAAAAAGCCAGAGAGUUAGAAGCACUGCAUCAAAAAGUAACCUUGCUUCAGCGGCAGCUCGCCACUCAAUCUUCGGCUUCAAAACAGCAAACUUCUACUGAAAAAACGACUACAGAUCCACCUACGGCUAAUAUCAAACCUAUGGCUGGAGUAGCUCAACAAAGUGUGACUGCAAGUCGGCGUGGUGGUGAGACACCUUUGGCAUCAAUUCGUCCUAUGGCCCAAGUGGGACCCACAGCGCCUCACGAUGCUCAUACAACGGAGUACAUGCCAGCGUCUUCAUCACGCCCCCUCCCCAGAGCUGCGCUGGCUGCAUCCACAGCGCCGCCAGAAUCCACACAAGAUAUGGAUACCAGUGAAGCUGGCAUGGGCAGCUCCGGUUCUAGUGACAACACAGCUCAACCAUCGACACAUUCACAAGCGCCUCAACAGGCUGUGGCGAUGGUUAUGCCUCGCAUUGAGCAACCCAGCGGGGCUGCAUCUGGCAGCGUGACUGGUGUAGCUACAGCGAGUUCAGCCGCGGCGUCCAGUGUGCCGACGCCUGCUGUUUCAGCGCCUCCUUUAACCGGAGCAACAGCAGGUCCUUCAACCUCGGGUCCAGUGUCGCAAGCAUCGGGAAGCGUGAGCACAUCGCACGCACCUCCCGGAGUGAGCACGUCACAGGCCGUGGCCGGCGUCAGCACGUCGCACGCACCCGCCGGCGUCAGCACUUCGCACGCGCCUCCCGGCGUCAGCACGUCACAUGGCCCGCCCGGCGUCAGCACAUCGCAUGGCCCGCCCGGCGUCAGCACGUCCCACGCGCCGCCCGGAGUCAGCACAUCUCACGCGCCGCCCGACGCGCGUCCCCCUAAGCGUCGCUUACAACAGCGCCCGCUCGCUGCUAAAAGAACUAGGGUACAAGGAUUUGAACGAUCGGUCGAAGUGGAAUAUCAAGUACCAACAUCUUCACGCUGUGAUCAAGACGACGAAGGCGUUAUUGUCGUCGACUCUGAGGAGGACGACGAACGGUGCACUGGCACUAUGUACAGGGAGGGAGAGGAGGAGGAAGAAGACAUGGAGGAAGAACAGGAGGUCGAGGCGGGUGAAGAGGAGGAGGAGGUUGAAGGAGAUGACACAGACAAUGCUGCCCGACAGUCCGAGUCGCCGGCGCAGUCACCGGAGGCGGGCGGCGAGGGCGAGGAGGGCGAGGCGGCGCGGGCCGAGCCCGACAGCGAGCCCGCGCCCGCCAUACAGCAGAUCGAGGCCAUCAGCAGCGGCACCGAGCAAAGCGGAGCAUUAUCCUUGGGCAACAAUGGUGACGAUGGUGAUGACAGUAUAGUGCCAUCUACACCUACACUUUACGUUCCGAGACGAAAUGACGGGUGCGGAAGGAGGCGAAACUAGAGACUGGGAGGAAUCACGAGUCGAGGAGGAAGCCACUGCAGUCAGCUCACAAGGCAGUGAACCCUCCUCCCCACACCAACAGGUGGCUGAAGAAGGUCGUGAGGCCGAGGCCAGCGCCCCGCCGGGCGUAGCGCGCCGCGCGCACGCGCAGCCGCACCCGCACUCGCCACACUCACCACACUCACAGAACCAGCGGUGGAUGCGAGCCGCAGACAGCGAGAGCGGAGCACGCGGCCGCGGCAUGCGAUCACGUGGCCGACCUUCCAGAAGAUCCCACAACUAUAUGAGGUUUUAGGCUCUUAUAAGUAGUUCUACGACGAUAAAUCCUAUUACAUCCAUAAUAUUAUCCUUUACCUAGUUAAGUGCAUAGUAGUAUUUUCCCUAAAUUAAAAAAAAACUUUGACAUUGUUAUUCCAGAACAAGUAUCAUUUGUGAACAUAAUUUAAAUAUUCCAUAAUAAUUGUUUUCUUACUUUCAUAUAUUGUAUGUUUAAGUCUAUUUGUCUAUAAAUGGUUUGACUGGUAAUGUCGUAAACAGGUAUUAAUAAUAAAGUGUCACCAGCUAUAUUAGUUUGUUCUAUCAAAUUUCUGUCAUCGGCUUACCACGAUUACCGUUACAAAAUGAUACUUUCAUGUAAUUAAUUUGCACAUGAUUUAUUAGAUUAAAUCUAAGUGAUCUUGAAACAUAA